UUGGUUUCCUUAAACAACGCUGUUGUUUAUUGCAUGUGUCUAUAAAGAAUCAAUACAGUCGAAAGCAAUGGAGUCCAUUUUGUUUUAAAUGAUCAGCUCUUAGUAGAAGCACGAUAAGCCGGCGGACGUUUGGACAACGGAAGACACAGCGAGAACCGCCCGUUCAGCCAUUGGCCGCCACCUCAGGGCGCCGGUCAGCCAUUGGCCGACACUUCAGGACGCCCAGGUCAGCCAUUGGUCGAGACCUCAGGGCGAGCAAUAAAAACUUGGUUGAAAAGUUAUCCAAAGCUCGGCUCAGAACGCUCCGAGCCUCCUUAGCAAACACACACAGGGUCGACUCUCCGAGUCAAAUUGGCAGAAAGAAAUAUACAAAAAGCAAUAAAUUGGGUUUUAAGGUAUAACAAACAUUAUUAACAUAUAGAAUAUAUAUACAUUUUGGUACCUUUUUGUAAACUAACUUUCCAAAAGAUUUCAUAUUGCAUAGAUGCCAUUUGUGUUGUAACCAAGUAGCAAAAAUGAACUAUUAGUAUUAAUUAAAGAUUUAUAUUAAAAUUCUCAGAAUUACAGCAUUAGAAAAUGUCUUGUCUUGUAGUGGCAUCGAUCUCACAAGAAGCUUCAAUCAAGGCCAAAGCAUGUUCAAAAUAUAACUUAAUUUAGUGCUUUCGUUGUAUAAGGAAUUCACUCAAAACACAAAGUAUGUACAGUACAAACAACAUAAGUUAUUUUAACUUAAAUCUCUCAUCAGCGCUCCCCAUUUAGUUGAAAUACCUCUUUAUUUAUUACACUAUGUACACUACUAUUAACCUGGACAUCGUUACUCAAACCAGGGGAGUCCUGUGCUAUGGAACGCUGCUGUGUCUCCGGGUGUUGGGCCAGUCGCUAGAUGUGUGGUCGAUGUUUUUGUUGGUGGGGGUGUAUGGGCAGGAGGGGGGUAUGUAGACCCCCCCCGAAGGCUCGUAACACAGCAUGUACUACAUUCAAAGUGUCUUGUGUUACAAUCGGGGAGUUGUGUGUGCGAGCCCAUGAGUUAGCUCCUGUAGCCGCCGCCGCUACACUGUGGAAGGCUCAAACCACCAGGCAUCGUUCGGUGUGUGUCUGUGUGCGUCCCACCAGUGGUGUGUGUAGGCAUCGUUCGGUGUGUCUGUGUGCGCUCCACCUGUGGUGUGUCUGUCUUUGUGCGCUCCACCUGUGGUGUGUGUCUGUGUGCGCUCCACCUGUGGUGUGUGUGUCUGUGUGCGCUCCACCUGUGGUGUGUGUCUGUGUGCGCUCCACCUGUGGUGUGUGUGUCUGUGUGCGCUCCACCUGUGGUGUGUGUGUCUUUGUGCGCUCCACCUGUGGUGUGUGUGUCUGUCUGUGUGCGCUCCACCUGUGGUGUGUGUGUCUGUGUGCGCUCCACCUGUGGUGUGUCUGUCUGUCUGCGCUCAACCUGUGGUGUGUGUGUCUGUGUGCGUUCCACCAGUGGCCUGUGUCUGUGUGCGUCCCACCAGUAUUGUGUGUCUGUCUGUGUGCGCUCCACCUGUGUGGCGUGUGUCUGUGUGCGUCCCACCAGUAGUGUGAGUCUGUCUGUGUGCGCUCCACCUGUGUCUGUGUGCGCUCCACCUGUGGUGUGUGUGUCUGUGUGUGUUGACCUGUCUUUCUUCUGAGUCCAGAGCGGGAGCCAUCAGGCCAGCAGGGCUGAGGCUCCCGCUUCCUGUGGGACCUCGUCUACUUUGGACUCUGCGGGUUAGGGGGGCUCUAAAGUGUUGUCUGGCCUGGGUCCUGGGCCGGGUCCUGGGCCGGGUCCUGGGCCGGGUCCUGGGCCGGGUCCUGGGUCGGAUCGCUCGGCAGAAUGGGCGUGUGCGUGACACACAGAGGUACGGACGCCGUUCGUUACCGGGUGAGCGGGAGUGAGAGGAGAUGGUUAAAGGGGGGGAAUAAACGACCAGAGGACCAGGUACCAGGUGGGUCUAGGUCCUGGUCUAGUACCUGGUGGGUCUAGGUCCUGGUCUAGGUCCUGGUGGGUCUAGGUCCAGGUCUAGUACCUGGUGGGUCUAGGUCCUGGUCUAGUACCUGGUGGGUCUAGGUCCAGGUCUAGUACCUGGUGGGUCUAGGUCCUGGUCUAGGUCCUGGUCUAGUAACUGGUGGGUCUAGGUCCUGGUCUAGUACCUGGUGGGUCUAGGUCCUGGUCUAGUACCUGGUGGGUCUAGGUCCUGGUCUAGGUCCUGGUCUAGUACCUGCUGAGUCUAGGCCCAGGUCUAGUACCUGGUGGGUCUAGGUCCUGGUCUAGUACCUGCUGGGUCUAGGUCCUGGUCUAGUACCUGGUGGGUCUAGGUCCUGGUCUAGGUCCUGGUCUAGUAACUGGUGGGUCUAGGUCCUGGUCUAGUACCUGGUGGGUCUAAGUCCUGGUCUAGUACCUGGUGGGUCUAGGUCCUGGUCUAGGUUCUGGUCCCUCUAGAACCUGCUGGGUUUGCCAUGCAGCCUUCGAAGGGUGCAGACAACCUCUACAUCUCCCCUAGACUCUGGAGACAUUCUGGGUCUCCACGGCGAUGCCCGUCUUUGAUAUCCUGUGUGUUGAUAGGUCCGCCACCAGAAGCCCCUUCAGACAGCAAGGCUUUGGAGGCUGGGUUUAGAAAAACAUUCACCUUCGAAAAUAAAUAGAUAAUUUCCUGUGUGUCUCCGGCGGCCUGAGGUAGGGUCUGUACAACGGAUCCUUAAAUAUACUCUGGAAAUGCCACAUCAGUCCUCUAAGUACAAUCUCCGUACAUAGUCACACAAACUCUUACCUAGCGCACAAAUACAUGAUAAAUAAAUAAAUAGAUAUAUGUAAUCUGUUUGCGUGAAACGGCUCCAAUGUGGUUUGCACAAGUCGUUCGGGGGCGCUGUGUGUGUGUUUGUGUGCGUGUGUUUGUGUGUGUGUGCCCGGGAGUGAGUGUGUGCGAGCGUCGGCCUGUGUGGGCGUGUUUUGUGUGUGUGUGUGUAGCAUGUUCCCAGGUUUGGUUCACAGGGGUUAAAGGUCAAAAGUAUCUGGUUCAUGGGCUCACGCCAACCAGCAGAAAGUGUUUCUAAUAACAUAAUCAUAUUAAUAAUAAUAAUAUAUUGAAGAAUAAAUCUCUCUGUCUACAUCCACUGAUAAAUAGUCCUCUGAGUGACAGGUCACCAGGAGUCUUUAACCUCUUCUGAUAGGACAGCAGCAUGUCUUGGGGCCCGGGGGCGGGGCCUAGGGACCCACGUUGCCAUGGUGACCGCGGCCCUUUUGAGCCCUGAAGACGGGCUCAAAAGGUUCAUCUGCUGAGGCACAUGGUCCAGCUGUCGGCACGGCGACCUCGUCUCAACGUUGCGGAGCCAGCCCUCGAUGGGAGGUGGAGGAGGAGGAGGAGGAGGAGGAGGAGGAGGAGGAGGAGGGGGUGGUGGAGGAGGAGGAGGAGGGGCAGUCCCAUCCAUCUUCUCAGUCUGAAACAGAGGAGGAGAAAGCAGAGGUUGGUGUGAGAGUGGUUCCCACGGACAUCAGAGAGUCUUCACCUUGUCCCGGCCCACUCGGAAGGCCUGUGUGUCUGUGCGUGGGUAGGCAGUAUGUAUGUGUGUGCACAUGUGUUUGUGUCUGUAUGUUUGUGUGUGUGUGUGUGUGUGUGUGUGUGUGUGUGUGUGUGUGUGUGUGUGUGUGUGUGUGUGUGUGUGUGUGUGUGUGUGUGUGUGUGUGUGUGUGUGUGUGUGUGUGUGUGUGUUAGAGAUGCGCGGAUGGGCUAUUAUUUCAUCCGCAACCGCAUCACAAAACGCUUGAUCCGCCCGCCAUCCAUCCGCAACAAUUUUUUUGACCAAUUUUCAAAACCGCACCCGCCCGCCAUCCGCCUGUUGUUUUUAGGUAUAUGCGCUGCUGACGCGAGGCUAGCAAGUUCUUGCCUGUUAUUGAAAGGAGACUGAUCCAAUGCAGCAAAGAUAUUUAAAGGAUAAAGUCCCUAGUAUCUAAGCCUAUUGGCUAUGUUGUAGCCUAUCCCCAGAAUAUUAUCAGUGAAGUGACGUCUGUCUCCGAUCGAUGCACAGGGAGAAACUUUAAAAUAGCCAAGCACAUCGGCAAACCUGACCUUACCAUAGGCUAGUAGGCCUACACUUUUUUAUCAUUGUAAUAAAACGCAAUUUGGUACACCAUUUUAAUAUGGUAAUAUAGCCUACUGUGUUUUUUUUUUUGCAAAAUGAAAGAUAGCCUUUUAAGGAAACGCCGACUCGAGCCUAUUAAUUCCGAAAUUUCACCGCAUUGAAGGCUAUAUAGGCUACUGUAACAAGCCCAACACUUGCCUGCUUGCCUUGCAAAUCAAAGUUUUCCGACUAUUUUUCUUACCUUCUUUCUUAGGUGUUGAUGUUACUGAGCUAGAAGUUUAACUUGUUCUGCACAUCUCGCGCUGCCAAUGCCUGAUGUCACUUCUGAGUCAAAUCACUCCAUCAUCUCUUUGAAAUUCCAUAUUCCACGAGUGGUAGGCUACAAUGACUGGCUGUUUUAAAAUAUAACUUAUACGAAACAAAAUAACCCAGGCAGUUUCAUCUACGAGACGUUAAAGCUUCUUCCAAUACUGACAGCUGUCUCAUAACUUGCAGGUUUGUGGAGACGCGACAUGGGACGGAUCGUCACUUAAUUUAAACUUUUUUGCUUCCGUUAGUGUGUGUGUGUGUGUGUGUGUGUGUGUGUGUGUGUGUGUGUGUGUGUGUGUGUGUGUGUGUGUGUGUGUGUGUGUGUGUGUGUGUGUUUUUGAUAGAGACAGAGAGGCCAAUUUACUGCCUGAUGAGAAUUGGAUUAUUUCAAAAUGUGCUUGGAAGUAGGUAACGACAUUUAACAAUGUGUAUAUAUUUUUGAAUUUCGUUGGUUAAACCGCCAACCGCCCGGAUUUAAUUAAAAUUAUAUAUAUUUUUUUUGUCACGUCACCCGCCCGAUCCGCGGUUUAACCGUGGAGUCCGCGGUUGCAACCGCCAACCGCGCAUCUCUAGUGUGUGUGUGUGUGUGUGUGUGUGUGUGUGUGUGUGUGUGGAGGGGGAGGGGGGUUGGAAAACCACAGUAACAGAGUCAACCUGACAGAGUGGAACCGGAAUGCAGUGAGGUCAUGGGACCGACCGGGCGGCCAUAACAGAGCGCUCUGCUGUGUGUGUGUGUGUGUGUGUGUGUGUGUGUGUGUGUGUGUGUGUGUGUGUGUGUGUGUGUGUGUGUGUGUGUGUGUGUGUGUGUGUGUGUGUGUGUGUGUGUGUGUGUGUGUGUGUCCGGGCGGUCUGAACCGGUUCACAGCCGCUACUGGCGGCCACUUGGGUGAGAACGACCGAGCUGCCGGGAAGCGAGGGCUGAAUCAUCUCCACCAACCGGGAGGGGGUAAACACACACACCAAGCGACGCCAGCUCUGCACCGCGCCGCGGCGUCUGCCCGCUAACACUCCGCUGUCACCGACAGCCCUGCAGCUAACGCUCACGCUAACCUACCACAUGCUGCCCAGUGAGGGGGGCGGGGCAUGGGGAAGGGGCGGGGCCAGGGGAGGGGCGGGGCCAGGGUGGGUUUGGGGAAGGGUCAGCGGGCCAGUAUGAACUCAGUGGCUCCUACCCCGGUCCCCUGUGGAACACACACACACACACACACACACACACACACACACACACACACACACACACACACACACACACACCCCUCCCGACCCCACCAGCAGCCCAGCUGACGCUCUUCAUUAUUUAUUGAGUUCUCACAGGCUAAAUAUAGACCUGCCCCAUUCAGGCCUAAGACGGGAGGACAUACACACACACACACACACACACACACACACACACACACACACACACACACACACACACACACACACACACACUAGCAGAAUGGGUGCCGCCGGCCGGCAGGGCAGCCUGUGUGGUCCGGUCUGUGUGCUCUCGGCUCCGAGGUCGGCAGAGAGCCAGCUACAUGCUACAUGCUACAUGCUACAUGCUACACCCACCCCAAUACAGGCCGCUAGCAGCUAGCUAGCCGAGGGACGGCUGAGUUCCUCCUGCAGAAGGGGGAGGCGGCCAGCCGUGGACCUGCUCAGCACUCCUACCCGAGGAAACAUCCACCCCUCCCAGAACCCUGGCCCCGCCCACAACCCGACCUGAGAGCCUAUCAGAAGCCUGGCCCCGCCAGCAACCCGACCUGAGAGCCUAUCGGAACAACGACAGCUGGAGAAAUAAAACUACUACAAAAAAUAUGGUAGUAGUAGUAGUAUUAUAAGUAGUAGUAAUAUAAGCGUUAGUAUUAUUAAAAGUAGCAGUAUUAUUAUAAGUGGUAGUAUUAUUAUAAGUAGUGGUAUUAUUAUUAGUGUUAGUAUCAUAAGUAGUAGUAAUAUUAUAAUAGUAUAUUAGUUUUAGUAUUGUUAUCAGUAUUAUUGAGGGUAAAGUGAUGAAGACGUUGAUGUUGGAGCUGUCAGAGGGGGCUUCAGGAAUGUCACCCCCACCUUGUUAUCAGUCCUCGUUGGCGAUGAAUGAAGGCAGGAGGGACUGAAUGAGCUCUAUUAUCUGAGAGUGUGUGUGUGUGUGUGUGCCCGCACAGGCACAUGAGCACGCCACCAACCCACACACACACGCACACACUCUCAUCUUCCAACUCUAAACAAAACAAGGCGCUCAACAAUGUGUAAUCCUGAGGUUGGUGUAAUCGCUCCCAGCGCCCGUAAACGGAGGAUACACGCUCUAUCAGCCGGGGAACAUCCUGCCCUACUUCCUCUCCGGGUUACAUAUCAGUAAGGGGGAGGGGGAGGAGGGGGGGGGGGGGGGGGGGGGGGGGGGGGGAGGGGCCAGGUAAGGUCAGAGACUAUGGCUGCAUCCGAAUACUCAUACUUGCAUACUAUAUAGUAUGCAUUUUGUAGUAUGCGGAAAAAUAUAGCGCGUCCGAAUACUCAGUACGCAUUCUGUAGUACGGACAACGUUUCCGAAUGCAUACUACCGCCAAAGUAAACCUCACUACGCUAUCCCACAAUGCAACCGGAGUCUGGUAACAAACGAAGAAGAGAUGGCUGACCCGACACCACCAACAGCGGCUUUUUAUUUGUGUGUGUGUGUGUGUGUGUGUGUGUGUGUGUGUGUGUGUGUGUGUGUGUGUGUGUGUGUGUGUGUGUGUGUGUGUGUGUGUGUGUGUGUGUGUGUGUGUUCGUUCAAUAAAAAAGGAAAAUUAACUUCAAUCGUCUUUUUUUUUUCACAGAGUAACAAAUAACUGUAAAUGUAUUAUUAUUCCAAAAAAAUGACUUACCAAAUGUCCACAUAUUUACAUCAUAACCUGCCGGUAAGUCACUCUACGAGAUGACCGACGACGACGCCUUCUAGCAGCGAUAUCCAUUUCAAGAGCCAUUCGCGUAGAAAGAGACAUUUUUUAUUUAAUAGCAACGAUAACAAGACGGAAAACAGGUCAAUUUUGCCGCCAUCUGGGGGGAGAUACGUCAUCUCCAAACAUCCGGUGGAGUUUCGGCGGUGUUCGAAGCGUUCGGAGGCGUUCUACGCAUAGCUCUAGACCGUACUACACAGUCAAGUGUAGUACCGUCAAGUAGUAGACACUGAACAGAAAUAGUAUGUACUAAGUAUUCGGAUGCAGCCUAAACCUCGGUCCACGGUGUGGAGCAGCGUUCGGGUGUAAAGCCGCAUGGGGGGGCAGUGUCUCAGUGCCUCACUCAGGUCCUCAGCCGACCUGUGAGACCACCGCAGGGGGGGGGGUGCUAGCGAGCUAGUAAGCUAGCUAAUUUAAAAUUAAUUAACGGUAUUAUCAGACAAACGUGCGCCGCCGGAGGGACAGCUGAGCCAGACUCUCUCUCUCUCUCUCUCUCUCUCUCUCUCUCUCUCCCUCUCCCUUUCUCUCUC
ensembl:lncRNA